UUUAAGGAAAAAAUUGAGAAGGGCUUGCCAGGGUGUUACGUGGAGACCGCGGGGCUGCAAGAGGAAGUCAAGUGUCUUUGACAGUUUAACCCUGCACAUGCCGGAGGACAGGUCGGGGAUCUUCCACUGACCAUAUCUGUGGUCGGAGGAAAAGGAGCCCGUAAUCGUCCCCAGAUGGUUGGCAAGAGGCUGGACUCCUUUUCAAUUCACAACAAUGGAUUGCCUAUGGAACUAUGGAGAACAGACCCGUGACAUUCUGUGGCUUCCCAUGAGACAACUUGGUGAGAAAGUCACAAACUUGGAUGCAUUACCAAUAACUUAGCGGCUAAGGUAGUUGACCCUGGCUCUGGAGAGCUCAAGCCUCUUCAGGGACUACUGUAUGAUGCUGGAGUACUGGGAAGGCCGUUGCCAAGACAGACGAGUGCAUCACCAAAGAAUCAAAGCCAUUGUGUUGAACUCAAUUGUACCAACAUUUUUGCAGAACCCGUUGGACCAAUGUUAUGUUUUAGCAGGCACAGGUUAACAGGAAAGGGAGGCCAUGUACUGCAAAGUGCCUUACACAGCACAGUCAGCUAAACACCGACAGCCAAAAGAUUUUGCACUAUUUUUAGGACCAACCCUGAUUAUCUUGUGACAGCCUUGAAAACCACCUCAUCAAUCUGUGACUGUGACAAGCUGUGACAAUCUGUGACAAGCUGCUUUUUACACCAAAUAAAGGUUUUACACUUUUUAGCCAUGUUACCAAAUCUCUAGGGACCAAGAGUUGAGAGUUGAAGGACCUCUACCUGCCUUUGUACAGUGCAUUCGGUAAGUAUUCAGACCCUUUCACUUUCUCCUAAUGCUAAUCUUAUUCUAAAAUGUAUUAAAUAGUUUUUUUUCUACACACAAUAGCCCAUAAUGACAAAGCAAAAACAGAUUUUUAGAAAUGUUAGCAAAUGUAUAAAAAAAAAUUAAAUAUUACAUUUACAUAAGUAUUCAGAAUCUCUACUCUACUUUGUCGAAGAACCUUUGGCAGCGAUUGCAGCCUCGAGUCUUAUUGGGUAUGACGCUACAAGCUUGACACACCUGUAUUUGGGGAGUUUCUCCCAUUCUUCCCCAGGCCAGGUGAUGAGCUGUGCCUGGUUUCCUCCAGACAUGACGCUUGGCAUUCAGGCCAAAGGGUUCAAUCUUGGUUUCGUCAGACCAGAGAAUCUUGUUACUCAUGGUCUGAGAGUCAUUUAGGUAACUUUUGGCAAACUCCAAGCGGGCUAUCAUGUGCCUUUUACUGAGGAGCGGCUUCCUUCUGGCCACCAUUAAGGCUUCCUUCUACCAUUCACCAUGGCUUCCUUCUACCAUUAAGGUGGUGGAGUGCUACAAAGAUGAUUGUCCUUCUGGAAGGUUCUCCCAUCUCCACAGAGGAACUCUGGUUCUCUGUCAGAGUGACCAUCGGGUCCUUGGUCACCUCCCUGACCAAGGCCCUACCCCCCAAUUGUUCAGUUUGGCCAGGUGGCCAGCUCUAGGAAGAAUCUUGGUGGUUCCAAACCACUUUCAUUUCAGAAUGAUGGAGGCCACUGUGUUCUUGGGACCUUCAAUGCUACAGAAAUGUUUGGUACCCUUCCCCAGAUCUGUGCCUCGACACAAUCCUGUCUCUGAGGUCUACAGACAAUUCCUUAGACCUCAAAGGCUUGUUUUUUUCUCUGACAUGCACUGACAACUGUGGGACCUUGUAUAGACAGGUGUAUGCCUUUCCAAAUCAUGUCCAAUCAAUUGCAUUUACCACAGGUGGACUCCAAUCAAAUUGUGCAAACAUCUCAAUGGAUCAAUGGAAGCAGGAUGCACCUGAGCUCAAUUUCGAGUCUCAUAGCAAAGGGUCUGAAUGCUUUCUAAAAACCUGUUCUCACUUUGGCAUUAUGGGAUAUUGUGUGAAGACUAACCCAUUUUAGAAUAAGGCUGUAACAAAAUGUGAAAAAAGUGAAGGGAUCUGUAUACUUUCUUAAAAUAAAACAAACUGCACCAUUAUAAAUGUCAGGCGUAGGUGUGUAUGUUUUUAUUGGGAGGACAGGCGUUUUUUGCUUUUCCAUUGAUCUCAGUGGAAGGUGGACGGCUGUUAAGCCUGUGGGACACCUCUCGAACAUUCCUAUAGAGGCAUGCAGACAUACAGCUGGUUAGGAUUUCCUCUCAGGUUCAUUUUUUCCACAAUACAUAUGCUC